CUUUAUGAUCUUGAAGGAUGUGAGCUCCACAAUCUGGCUGAUGACCUCAUCAGAGAUCGACAAGUCCAGGUACCUCAUGAUGCGCUCCACUUCACGCCGAGGAUUCUGGGGGAGUAAAUAUGAGCCUCGCAGGGUGCUGCUAAUCCUGUCACGAUCAUUGAGGCAUACUAAGUUUCUCACGGGGAAAAACAGUGAGGAGGCACCAAGUGGAAAGGAAGAUGUGUCUUGAUAAUUCUUGGAGGAUCCAUGGUCUUCAGAAGAUCAAGACCUGAAAGAGGUUCAGGAGAGAGGAUAUAUGAAAGAGUUGAAACACACUUUUACAUACUAUUUCAGAUUCUAUGUAAUGCUUAUGUGUAAGUCCCACUAAUGCACAGAGAUGGACUACAGCUGCUUUAUGACCGUCAACUG